UACGGGGGGGGCAAGCGUUGUUCGGAAUUACUGGGCGUAAAGGGUUCGUAGGUGGCUUGCUCAGUCAGACGUGAAAUCCCUCAGCUUAACCGGGGAACUGCAUCUGAUACUGGAUGGCUUGAGUUCGGGAGAGGGAUGCGGAAUUCCAGGUGUAGCGGUGAAAUGCGUAGAUAUCUGGAGGAACACCGGUGGCGAAGGCGGCAUCCUGGACCGACACUGACGCUGAGGAGCGAAAGCCAGGGAGGAGCAAACGGG
rnacentral:rRNA from 1 species